UACGUAGGGGGCAAGCGUUGUCCGGAAUUAUUGGGCGUAAAGAGCGUGUAGGCGGUCCGAUAAGUCGGCUGUGAAAGUCCAGGGCUCAACCCUGGGAUGCCGGUCGAUACUGUCGGACUAGAGUUCGGAAGAGGCGAGUGGAAUUCCCGGUGUAGCGGUGAAAUGCGCAGAGAUCCGGAAGAACACCGGUGGCGAAGGCGGUCUGCUGGGCAGUAGCUGACACUGAGGCGCGACAGCGUGGGGAGCAAACAGG
rnacentral:rRNA from 1 species